AGAAAAUAUAGAAUAAGUGAGUUCGUUUGAUAAUUAAAAAGAAGUGAUUGGGGAAACUGGUUAGAUUCCAGUACAGUGCCGCUACGGUAAGCCUCGACUUUAUGUCGUGGACAAGUCCGACUACCAAUCAUUUUAUUAGUCCCGAG
rnacentral:ncRNA from 2 species